CUACGGGAGGCAGCAGUGAAGAAUAUUGGUCAAUGGACGCAAGUCUGAACCCAGCCAUGCCGCGUGCAGGAAGACGGCCUUAUGGGUUGUAAAACUGCUUUUUAUAUAGGGUGAAAAUUACCUACGUGUAGGUAACUGACGGUACUAUAAGAAUAAGGACCGGCUAACUCCGUGCCAGCAGCCGCGGUAAUACGGAGGGUCCAAGCGUUAUCCGGAUUUAUUGGGUUUAAAGGGUCCGUAGGCUGGCGAUUAAGUCAGAGGUGAAAAGCUUACCGCUUAACGGUGAAACUGCCUUUGAUACUGGUUGUCUUGAAUACAUUUGAAGUAGGCGGAAUAUGUAGUGUAGCGGUGAAAUGCAUAGAUAUUACAUAGAACCCCAAUUGCGAAGGCAGCUACUAAGAUGUUAUUUACGCUGAUUGACGAAAGCGUGGGUAGCGAACGGGAUUAAAUACCUCGGUAGUCCACCCCGUAAACAAUGUUAACUCGGUGCGUGCUUCGUAGAAGUGAGUGCCCAACCGAAAGUAUUAAGUUAACCACCUGGGGAGGACGCUCGCAAGAAUGAACUCAAAGGAAUUGACGGGAAUCGAAUAUUCCCGCCGCCAUGCGCCGCGAGCAUGCGACGUCGCUA
rnacentral:rRNA from 1 species